rfam:Fukomys damarensis contig128844, whole genome shotgun sequence.
GUAAAAGUUUCUUUUGAUCUGAACACUGUCCAAAUAAAGUACCUGGAUGAAGAGAAUGAAGAG